UAGAAAAAGAAAUACAGUUCGCAGUUCUGGUAGAGAAGUUAUAUAUCAAGUCCACAAACGUUGUUUAGCCGAAUCCGAAGCUGGGACGGCUUUUAUCCGAUAACAGCGAUGUUUACACAAGAACAGUUGAAAUGAGCGGCAGCAGCUGACCAAGCGUUUGCAUCUAUUUCUGCCGAAGAGUGGAGAAAUUCUUGCAGCCAUAUCAUGAAAAUAGAAAAAGAAUAUUAUAAACGAGGGCAGACGCUAUACAAACACAUAGACAGACUUGUAAUAAACCUGCAAGAUGACAGUAGUAGUAUGAGCGAUUCCUCUAACCUAGACGAGGAUAAGAAUUUUAAAGAAGGUACGAGCCAAGAUACAGAACAUUUAUCUGAUGUUGAAGUUUUGGAAGAAAGUCUUCUGACGUCAGACUGAUUAAAUAAUUUAAUUCUUUGAAU